UACGGGGGGGGCAAGCGUUGUUCGGAAUUACUGGGCGUAAAGGGCGCGUAGGCGGCCUACUAAGUCGGACGUGAAAUCCCUCGGCUCAACCGGGGAACUGCGUCCGAUACUGGUGGGCUCGAAUCCGGGAGAGGGAUGUGGAAUUCCAGGUGUAGCGGUGAAAUGCGUAGAUAUCUGGAGGAACACCGGUGGCGAAGGCGACCAUCUGGACGGAUACUGACGCUGAGACGCGAAAGCGUGGGUAGCAAACAGG
rnacentral:rRNA from 1 species